AAUUUUUCCGUGGAGAUUCAGAUGAGAAUAUUUCCAAGUGUUGAAGCUAAAGGCAAGAAAGGAAUGGCUUCUGACCGUACCAGCGGACCCCACCGCCCCCUCUUCCAAGCUUGAAGAUGAUGGCAACCCCAAGUUUGUCGUCUUCAUCCGCAUGGCUAAUGUUUACCUUUGGUAUCCUCUUAAUAUUGUGACUGGUGGGACAACAGCAAAAAUCAUGGUGGCUGCAAAGGAUAAUUUUCUUGGCAAAUAUAUAUACAAAGACACUCUAGCUAGGAAUCUUGCAUCAGUCAUCUAUAAAGUGAGUUUUCCUUUCUAAUAAUGUUUGUUAAAGCUAUCCAAAUAAAAUUGCUAAUUCUCAUGAACAA